rnacentral:rRNA from 1 species
GACGAACGCUGGCGGCGUGCUUAACACAUGCAAGUCGAACGGAAAGGCCCUUCGGGGUGCUCGAGUGGCGAACGGGUGAGUAACACGUGGGUGAUCUGUCCUGCACUUUGGGAUAAGCCUGGGAAACUGGGUCUAAUACCGAAUACACCCUGCUGGUUGCAUGACCUGGUGGGGGAAAGCUUUUGCGGUGUGGGAUGGGCCCGCGGCCUAUCAGCUUGUUGGUGGGGUGAUGGCCUACCAAGGCGACGACGGGUAGCCGGCCUGAGAGGGUGACCGGCCACACUGGGACUGAGAUACGGCCCAGACUCCUACGGGAGGCAGCAGUGGGGAAUAUUGCACAAUGGGCGCAAGCCUGAUGCAGCGACGCCGCGUGGGGGAUGACGGCCUUCGGGUUGUAAACCUCUUUCAGUAGGGACGAAGCGCAAGUGACGGUACCUACAGAAGAAGGACCGGCCAACUACGUGCCAGCCGCCGCAGUAACAC